GCAUUGAACUUAAGAUUCAAAUAUAAAGUAUUUUUAAACUUUUAUUAA
rnacentral:tRNA from 1 species